AGGGCUAAACAGAGAAACCCUGUUUCGAAAAACAAAAUUGUUCGGUAAAUUUGAUUUAUUUUAGGUAGGACUCCUUGUUCUGAGUUGGGUACAACAAGAAUUCACACUUCAGAAGGAUAAUUUCAAAGUUAGUGUCAGGGCUGGAGAGAUGGUGCCGUGGUGCAGGGAGCUUAUUGCUUUAGCAGACAACCUGAAUCUGAGUCCUGUUACCAACAUCCGGCAGCUUACAACUGCCUGUAACUUCAGCUUCAAGGGAUCUGAUAUUCCUCUGAACACACACACACACACACACACACACACACACACACACACACCGCAAAUAAGUAAUAUAAAUAUUUUUUAAAAUUAUUGUCUCCUCUCAUUUAAGAUUUAAAGGAACCCUACUUUCCUUUUAAUGAAGGCAGUGUGGGUUUUUUUGUUGUUGUUAUUUCUUUUGUUUUUUGGUUUUUUUUUUUUUUGAGAUUAAGAUAUUUCACCAUUAUAUUUACCCCCUUCUUUUCCUUCCUCCAAACUUUCCCAUAUACCCUUUCUUCCCCUCUUUCAAAUACAUCAUCUUUUUUAUUAUAUUGUGAUAUUGUUAAGGGAUCAUUGUAUCGGGCAUUCUUCAGUCUGUGAACUUGGGAAUGAAAUAGAUUCAGAUAAAAAUUUUAUGAUCUGACUUAUCUGAAAUCCUGCGAGCACAUAGACUUAAAUUCCUUUUUAAAAUUAAAAAAAAAAUUGAAAAUGCAUGUUUUGUCUGCACUUGAGUAUGUGUAUUGCAAGAAGCAUGCCUGGUUCCUGUGGAGGUCAGGAUAAAGUAUGGAAUCGCCAGAAACUGGAGUAGCAGAGGGUUGGAUGCCACUGUGUGGGUGCUGGAGUUGCACUCAGGUCCUCUGCACGAGCAGCAAGGGCUCUUCACCCGCUGAGCCAUCUCUCCAGCCCCAGAUUUCACUUCUUUAUUACUUUAUCAUCUGAAUUUUUGCUCUCUAACAUAAGGACAAGUAGAUUCGAUAGAGUCAGGUAUUACAAAAUACUGACCUGGCAAGAAAGAUAAGGCUCAAGCUGAAAUUCCUCCACGGACCUGCAGAUGGUCUGAAAUGUAAUUUCAUAUUCAUUAUUUGCGCUGGGAAGGUGAGGGAAACAAGCUUGAGAUACUAUCACAACCCCCACCCGCUUGUCAUUUAUACUCCCUUGUGGCUGGAGUUUCCUUGAGAUAAACCUUUAGUGCGAAUUCUAUUUGCUUGCUCCUCCUUAACUGGUCCAUCACUGGUCUGCUGGAUUCUGCACUACUUUCAAAUAGAAAACACAUUUUCGGUCUCAGCGGAAGUGUGUAGUGUUUACAGACUCCCUCACCCACCCUUCCAUCCUAGAGCAUCUGCAUAGCUGGAGCGUAAAGUUCUGAGUUCCGUGCCCGGGCAGUCCCUGCCGAGCAACCCUUCCACUGCCCAGAGGCCAGGGCCCUUCAUGUACUGUUGGUGACGAGUUUAUGGGGUUCAGCCUCUCUAAGCGCUGUGGGUUCUCAUUCCUCAGCAAUGGGCUGCAGACAGCUUGGAUGGAGCCAUCUUGGCAUUCUGUGACUGCCAGCUUUUCCUCUUUCUUCUCCAUCUCCUACUCUUUCUCAAAGAUGUGGUCUUUCAGUUCCGCCUCUUCUUAAGCUUGCCCUUGAAGUACUGACCCUCCUGCCUCUACCUGGUGGGUAUGUGCCACCAUGCCUAGUUUUAUGUGGUGCUGAGUAUCGAACUCAGGGGCUUGGUGCAUGCUAGACAAGUAUAUGACCAACUGAGCUGCAUCCCGAGCCCUGGGGAAUGGGGUCUAGGUGGGAAGCUAUCCAACUCAUGGACUAGCAAUUAGUUUCAUCUGGGAUUAGCAAAGGACACUCUUGAAACCAUUGGUAAAAUGACACUUUUUUUUUCCCAUGAACAAGCUGAGAACUUCCCUUCCUUCAUGGUGUUAAAUGAGAUAUAGAAGGGCCCUUACGUGGAAAGGGUGGCUUUUGUGUAUGAGCCUCCUUAGAGGUCAUGAGGCGUCCGUGGCCAUGUCCUAGGGAAGAGAGCAUGGUGAUAUCCGUGUGGGGAUGUCAGGGGCUAAGGGGUUAAGUUGAACCAUUUUAAGAGGCUGGCAAGGAGCAUCCAGGCUGCAUAAUUAAUACUCCAUUUCAGCGGAUCACUGGCGAAUCAAAGCCGUUAAUUCGUUUGGUGAAUACAGAUUGUGCAACCACAGGGAGAUCGUAAUUGGGAGGUAACUGACAAUAACUCUGAUAAACCUUAGAUGAAUGAACUUAGAUGAAUAAUUUGGGGUAACUUGGCAAAGAGAGAUGAAGAGAUUUGUGUGUGUGUGUAGCGGGGAGGUAGUUAAAAGAAUGCAAUGGUAACAAUAAAACAAGCAGUAUGGAACAGAAGCAGUUUAGAGGUGACCGAACCUAUGCUUUUUAGUUCAGAAAUAAACAUGGGAGCUGACCAGCCAAGGGAAGCGGUUUUUCUAAGAGCGCACAGCUGGUAAAUGAGACUUGUGAUUUUUUUUCUGAGACUUUGGAGACACUUUAAUUUUUAUCUAAUUUCUUGAGCAUUUAAGUGUGGAGAACAGGAAAUGCACCCUGAGGAAGUACCUAGGGAGGUUAGGACCAGGGCAACGGAUACUCAGGGCUGCUGCCAGGUUGCAAAGCAGACAAGUGAGAACCUUGCUUGAUUUCAACACCACCCUUGUUGCAGGAUGGUCACGCCUCACCAUCCUCAGAAGCCAAGAAGCACUGCACUGUCUCAGUUUGCCUUCUCUGGGAAGGCCUGCCAUGAUUUCCCAGAGUCAUAAUAGCAGUGACGGUUUGCAGUUGAGUUGAGGACACAGAGUGGUGGGCCCUUCAGCUUGGAACUGGGAGGGUUGACAAGGACUCAGUAGAAAUGGGAUGAGAAGAUGGCUGCCAUGUUCCAGUGUAGCUUAGAUGCACUGUCACAGCCCCUAGAGAUACUCAGGCCCCAGACUCUGCCGUGUUUAUCCAGUCCAUUUAGAUGACCCUUGGUCUUCCAUGUUCCUGAUAUUCCGAAAGGAAAUCAAAACAACCAUGGGACUAGAGGGCUGACUCAGCUGUAAGUACGGGUGGCUGUUUAUCUACCCUCCCUGCCACUUUGGAUUAAUAAGCACCCGGAAGUACUAAGUGUACCUGUUUAGAGACUAAUCAGGGAGAGCCCUAAGGACUCUUUGGGCCAAAGAAAAUAGCAUGUUCUGGAAGUGCACUCAAUAGACCUGUUAUGGUUGGGCUGCCUACGGAGAGCCUUUCUCCCUUUGCCCCAUCCCUCCUCUUACUGUUUGUUUCUUUCGCUCUCCCUUCUUUCUCUCAUUGGUUUCUGCUUUUCUCCUCUCGCAGCUUUCAAGC
rnacentral:lncRNA from 1 species